rnacentral:pre_miRNA from 1 species
AGGUAAACUUCGCCCAGAUUAGACUUAAUUAUUGCAGUCACUGGGUAAAGUUUGUCCGUUG